AGUGAACGCUGGCGGUAGGCCUAACACAUGCAAGUCGAACGGCAGCACAGGAGAGCUUGCUCUCUGGGUGGCGAGUGGCGGACGGGUGAGGAAUACAUCGGAAUCUACUUUUUCGUGGGGGAUAACGUAGGGAAACUUACGCUAAUACCGCAUACGACCUACGGGUGAAAGCAGGGGAUCUUCGGACCUUGCGCGAUUGAAUGAGCCGAUGUCGGAUUAGCUAGUUGGCGGGGUAAAGGCCCACCAAGGCGACGAUCCGUAGCUGGUCUGAGAGGAUAAUCAGCCACACUGGAACUGAGACACGGUCCAGACACCUACGGGAGGCAGCAGUGGGGAAUAUUGGACAAUGGGCGCAAGCCUGAUCCAGCCAUACCGCGUGGGUGAAGAAGGCCUUCGGGUUGUAAAGCCCUUUUGUUGGGAAAGAAAUCCAGCUGGUUAAUACCCGGUUGGAAUGACGGUACCCAAAGAAUAAGCACCGGCUAACUUCGUGCCAGCCGCCGCCGUAA
rnacentral:rRNA from 1 species